rnacentral:rRNA from 1 species
GACGAACCGUGCAAACGUUAUUCGGAAUCACUGGGCAUAAAGGGCGCGUAGGCGGCUUUCUAAGUCAGGGGUGAAAUCCGGCAGCUCAACUGUCGCAGUGCCUUUGAUACUGGAGAGCUCGAGGGAGGUAGGGGUCUGUGGAACUUCCGGUGGAGCGGUGAAAUGCGUUGAUAUCCUAAGGAACACCGGUGGCGAAAGCGGCUCACUGGACCUCUUCUGACGCUGAGGCACGAAAGCUAGGGUAGCGAACGGG